GUGCGGCGCCGGGGCGCCCGGCGCUCGCGGGGACACUGAGGCCAGCGCAAGGCACAGUGUGCGUACGCGGAGGUCCGGCGACUUCCGUGCCUUUCCCAGCGCUCACAGCUCCGAGGAAGAAGAAGUCCCUGUGUCCUGCUGGAGUCCGUGUCAGCGGAGAAGAUUUCCAGGGGAGAUGAGUCUGAUGGCGCUGAGGGGCUGAGGCCUCCUGCCGGCCUCUGCCUGGGACAUCCUUGCAUCGAAGUCAGCAGGCUGCUCUUGCUGUCCGCCCUGUUCCUCGGAGUCCCAUGUGAGAACACAAGAUCAUGUCACCUCUCCCGUGGCUAUCCUCAAGUGCAGGCCCUGGCAGCAGCUCUUCAGCCACCAUCGGCUGUAAACUUCAGGUUCCUGAGGCAGAUGGACAUACAUAGAGGAGACCCUAGUGACCUCCAGAUGACACUUGGAAUGCAAGUCAUGGCCCCCCACCCCCAACAAUUUUUCAGAGCCUUACUGGAACCAGAAUGCUGGACAUAAUUAAAAAGUGAGGCAUCUGUCACCAUUUACUGCAAGAAAAGCAAAAAAGGAGCGAGACUGGAAUGUGUUGAUCUCCCACUGUUACCAAACCCAAGUCCGGCUGUCGCUGCCAAAACAGAAACAAGGGAGACUCGGACGUCAAUUGUUGGUGAAACAGGAAGGCAGCUGUUCUCAGGCCUGAGGAGACAGCAAGCUAAGCCACCUCAAAGGCUCAGAUCUACCGAGGCUUUCAAGAAGGAGGAAGCAGUUAGUGAAGAGCAGGAGGGAGACUGGCAAGGGGCUGAUGCAGGGUCUCACCAAGGCUCUGUCUGGCUUGUCCUUGAUGCUAUCUUAGGGUUCUGCAGGAUUUUGAUUCCUUGCUGGCGCCCAUGGUCAGCCUCGAGACAUCUGUUCUUGGAAUUCUGCAAGCCUCAAAGAACUGUUAGUUUUGCAGGUCCUGAUUAGUUUUUAACAGCCUUGUUUUUCUACUUAGCAAGCAAGAUAAGAAAGUCAGCAUGCAUCUGACUGCCAGUGUUUCAAAGCAUGCAUCUGGCAAAAUCCCAACUGCAGAUGAAUCCAACAAUCUGCUUUCUCCCUGCUGGCCCACAGAGCUGAACUUCCCUGGGCAGGUGGGUCCACUGUAAAUCCACUCAACCUCAGAUGGCCCCCACCACUGCCCAAACUGUCUACUUUUGCUUACCUGAUCAGUUCACACUUCUACUCUCUGCAGUGACUAUUUCCCCCCCUUUUAAAGAUUAAAGUAUACUUUACAUGCAUUAAAACUUACCUCCUUUCGUUUACAGUUCUGCAAGUUUUGACAAAUGCGUAUAAUCGAGCAACUGCCGCCACAGUUAAGAUGCAGAACUCUGUCAGCCCGAACUGCCUCUGUGGCCUUUGGUUGGUGGUCACCUCCUCUCCCCCUCUCAGCUCCUGGAAACCACUGAUGUGUUUGUCUUUUUCAGAAUGUCACAUAAACAAAAUCAUAUAGUUUGUGAUCUUUUGACCCUGGCUUCUUUCACUCAGAAGGAUGCGUUUGAGAUUCAUCCAUAUUGUGUGUUUUGGUGGCUCAUCUUUUGUUACAGCUAAGUAGCAUUCUCUUGCGUGUUGUAUCUGUUUGUUUAUUCAUUCACCAGUUGAAGGACAUUUGGAUCAUUUCCAGUUUUUGGUCAUUAUGAAAAAAAAAGCCACUUUAAACAUUUGCAUACAGGUUUUUGUGUGAACUUAAGUUUUCAUUUCUCUUGGGCAAAUAUCUGGGAGUGGGAUUGUUGGGCCGUAGAUUUCACUGCAAAACCAUUUUUCCAAGGGGCUGUACCAUUUUGCAUUUCCACCCACAAUGUAUGAGAGUUCCAGUUGCUCUGCAUCCUCACCAACAGUUUGUAGUAUCAAUUUAAAAAAUUUUUUAGUCAUUCUAAUAUGGUAACUUAUUGUGGUUUUAAAUUAUAUUAUCCUAAUGAUUAAUGAUGUUGAGCAUCUUUUCAUGUGCUUAU